GUAAGCACAAUCAUAGCACAUAAAAACGUUAGGUCAAGGUGUAGCUUAUGAGUUGGAAAGAAAUGGGCUACAUUUUCUGCAUAAGAAUAUUCACCGUACGAAAGUUUUUAUGAAACUAAAAACCAAAGGAGGAUUUAGCAGUAAAUUAAGAGUAGAGUGCUUGAUUGAAUAAGGCCAUGAAGUACGCACACACCGCCCGUCACCCUCCUCAAGCAUAUAGUAAUACAAAAUAACCUAUAUUUAAUUACAUAAUCAUGCAAGAGGAGACAAGUCGUAACAAGGUAAGCAUACUGGAAAGUGUGCUUGGAUUACCAAAGCAUAGCUUAAACUAAAGUACCUAGUUUACACCUAGAAGAUCCCACAAUAUAUGGGUGCUUUGAACUAAAGCUAGCUCAACAUACUAAAUAAAAACACAAAAACUACACUAAAAUAAAAUAAAACAUUUACCUGACAUUAAAGUAUAGGAGAUAGAAAUUUUUAUCUUGACGCUAUAGAGAUAGUACCGUAAGGGAAAGAUGAAAGAACAAAAUAAAAGUAAAAAAAAGCAAAGAUUACCCCUUCUACCUUUUGCAUAAUGAUUUAACCAGAAAAAAUCUAACAAAGAGAACUUUAGCUAGAUACCCCGAAAACAGACGAGCUACCUAUGAGCAGUUUAAAAGAAGACUUGUAGGUAGAGGUGAAAAGCCUAACGAGCCUGGUGAUAGCUGGUUGUCCGAGUUCCAAUGUAUUUUUAAGAGAUAGUCUAAAAAGGUACAGCUUUUUAGAAACGGGUAAAACCUUGACUAGAGAGUAAAAUCUUUAUACUACCAUAGUAGGC
rnacentral:lncRNA from 1 species